GGUGUGGAUGGAGUGGAGUGGAGUGGAGUGGCGUGGAGAUGGAAGCCGGGAGAAUCUGUCCUGUGAUGAAGUGGUCUCCGAGCCACUU
rnacentral:miRNA from 1 species